rnacentral:rRNA from 1 species
GCAAGUCGAACGGCAGCACGGGCUUCGGCCUGGUGGCGAGUGGCGGACGGGUGAGUAAAGCGUAGGAACCUAUCCUUUUGUGGGGGACAACCCAGGGAAACUUGGGCUAAUACCGCAUAAGUCCUGAGGGAGAAAGCGGGGGAUCUUCGGACCUCGUGCUGAAGGAGGGGCCUACGUCCGAUUAGCUAGUUGGUAGGGUAAAGGCCUACCAAGGCGACGAUCGGUAGCUGGUCUGAGAGGACGAUCAGCCACACUGGGACUGAGACACGGCCCAGACUCCUACGGGAGGCAGCAGUGGGGAAUUUUUCGCAAUGGGGGCAACCCUGACGAAGCAAUGCCGCGUGAAUGAAGAAGGCCUUCGGGUUGUAAAGUUCUUUCGUGGGAGACGAAAAGGCAAGCGCUAAUAUCGUUUGCUGUUGACGUGAACCCAAGAAGAAGCACCGGCUAACUCCGUGCCAGCAGCCGCGGUAAUACGGAGGGUGCGAGCGUUAAUCGGAAUCACUGGGCGUAAAGGGCGCGUAGGCGGUUAGUUACGUCUGCCGUGAAAUCCCCGGGCUCAACCUGGGAAU